UGUGGCGAGGCAGAUUCAAUGUAGCGUUGUUGUUGUGUUUUUUGGUGAAGGGGAGGGCGUUUUGAAGGCAAGCGAGGGAUUGGAUUGUUGUGGGAUCGACCACAAUGGCCACCACGGGGAAGUACUUGGCGACGCAGGAGGAGAUGGUGGAGGCUCGCUUGCCAUUGGGUUCCCGGGAUAUGUGCUCCAAGCUCCUCAUCCCUCUGAACAAGUGCCGCCAGGAGACUUUCUACUUGCCCUGGAAGUGCGAGGACGAGAGGCACGGCUACGAGAAGUGUGAGUAUGAUAUCUUCCUGCAACGCAUGAAGAAGAUGCAGGAGAUGCGACUAGGGCAGGCGCAGGCGAUCCCUGCCCCACAGUAGAUUGAUUGCCCAGCGCUUUAGUGCCAUGGUUUCGGUUAGUGUGCUUGACACCGCAUUUUGCUUGAGAUUUGAAAAAAAAAUUAGAUUCUUGGGAAAAUUGGGUGUCGUGGAUCACUCUGUCUGGAGGUUUGAAGGCUUUCCUUUCUACUUGUGAGGCAGGGGAUUGCCUUCGUGAGGAGAUUAAUUAGGGGAACAUUUUAGGUCAAGAAUGGGGUCUCUCGUCGAUAAGAGCUGAUUUCGUAUGGGUUUUAUUGACACGUUAUUACAUUCCCAAACUGGAAUUUCGUGAAAUUGAAACAGAAACAGCUUUUUCUGUAGAAAGACAGACCAAAAAUAAAUGAAUAAACAAACAAAAGAGAAGUAAACAUUUUCUCGAGCUUUAGCGCAGCAGCCAGUUAUAGGUGUUGCUGUGUAGAGAGUGGAGCCACACGAUCUGUUAGUACUCGGUUGCUAGAACUGGUGUUAUGCAUCUUUAAAAGUACCAGGAAUCGCACCGGGAAUCGUAAUGAAAACUUUCUCGAAACAAGAAGUCAAGUACUAGCGGAUCGUAAGAGAAAUCUCCAGGAAAGACAGAGUUGGUUCUUACUCUCCACUCUUGAAAAUUGA